GACGAGGGGUCCUAGCGUUGUUCGGAAUCACUGGGCGUAAAGAGUUUGUAGGCGGCCCUGUAAGUCGGGUGUGAAAUCCCAUGGCUCAACCAUGGAAGUGCAUUCGAAACUGCAGGGCUUGAAUAUGGAAGAGGGUAGUAGAAUUCCAGGUGUAGUGGUGAAAUACGUAGAUAUCUGGAGGAAUACCGGUGGCGAAGGCGGCUACCUGGUCCAAUAUUGACGCUGAGAAACGAAAGUGUGGGGAUCAAACAGG
rnacentral:rRNA from 1 species